CGGGGUGAGGGACACCGGUCGUCCGCGAGUCUUGGGCACUCGAAGCAGUCGGUUCGAUUCCGACCUCCCCGA
rnacentral:tRNA from 1 species